rnacentral:sRNA from 1 species
AGUCGUAACAAGGUUUCCGUAGGUGAACCUGCGGAAGGAUCAUUGUCGAAACCUGCCCGACAGAACGACCCGCGAACUCGUGAUUGCGACAGAGGGGGUCCCGACUCGGGGGGCUCCGGCCGCCCGCGUCGGCCCCCUCCUGUCGCGGGGAGAGGGCGAGAUCUCGACCGCUCCCCGCGACGGAACAACGAACCCCCGGCGCGAGCUGCGCCAAGGAAAAUUUAACGGGAGAGGGCGCUCCCCCGUGCAUCCCCGGACACGGAUCGAUGCGCGGGAUGCGUCCCGCUCUUUCGAUGAAAAUCCAAAACGACUCUCGACAACGGAUAUCUCGGCUCUCGCAUCGAUGAAAAAUGCGAUACUUGGUGUGAAUUGCAGAAUCCCGUGAACCAUCGAGUCUUUGAACGCAAGUUGCGCCCCAAGCCCUUAGGCCGAGGGCACGUCUGCCUGGGUGUCACGCAUCUUUGCCCCCCCACGAUCCGCCCCCCUCUCGGGGGACGGUCGGCCGGGCGUAAACUGGCCUCCCGUGAGCCCCUGCUCGCGGUUGGCCCAAAUUUGAGUCAUUCGGCGACCGUGCCGCGACGAUCGGUGGUGGAACAUGCCUCUCGAGCCCCCGUCGCGCGCUCGCGUCCCCGUGCCACCGGCUCGUUGACCCUCGUAAGCGCCUCCUCUGUCGAGGCGGUGCUCGCUCUGCGACCCCAGGUCAGGCGGGACUACCCGCUGAGUUUAAGCA